GUCCACGCUGUAAACGAUGAGUGCUAGGUGUCGGCUCUUAAAGGGUCGGUGCCGAAGUUAACGCAUUAAGCACUCCACCUGGGGGAGUACGAUCGCAAGAUUGAAACUCAAAGGAAUUGACGGGGGCCCGCACAAGCGGUGGAGCAUGUGGUUUAAUUCGAAGCAACGCGAAGAACCUUACCAGGUCUUGACAUCUCCUUGACCGGUCCGUAACGGGACCUUUCCUUCGGGACAAGGAAGACAGGUGCUGCAUGGCUGUCGU
rnacentral:rRNA from 1 species